CCCUUAGACGUUCUGGGCCGCACGCGCGCUACACUGACUAGUCCAACGAGUGUUUGUACCUUUGCUGAUAGGCAUGGGCAAUCUCUGAACGCUAGUCGUGAUAGGGAUCGAUUUUUGGAAUUAUUAAUCGUCAACGAGGAAUUCCUAGUAAACGCGAGUCAUCAGCUCGCAUUGAUUACGUCCCUGCCCUUUGUACACACCGCCCGUCGCACCUACCGAUUGAAUGGUCCGGUGAAGCCUCCGGAUUGGACGUGCUGACCCUGUCAGCCGGCCGAGAAGUUGGCUAAAUCUUACCAUUUAGAGGAAGGUGAAGUCGUANCA
rnacentral:rRNA from 1 species